UCAAGCGAAUAAGCGCACACGGUGGAUGCCUUGGCGGUCAGAGGCGAUGAAGGACGUGGCAGCCUGCGAAAAGUAUCGGGGAGCUGGCAACAAGCUUUGAUCCGGUAAUGUCCGAAUGGGGAAACCCACCCGCUUGCGGGUAUCCUGCAGUGAAUACAUAGCUGCUGGAAGCGAACCUGGUGAACUGAAAUAUCUAAGUAACCAGAGGAAAAGAAAUCAACCGAGAUUCCGUAAGUAGCGACGAGCGAACGCGGACUAGCCCUUAAGCUGGAUUGGUUCUAGGAAAACGCUCUGGAAAGAGCGGCCAUAGAAGGUGAUAGCCCUGUAUCUGAAAGGGCCAUUCCAGUGAAGACGAGUAGGGCGGGGCACGUGAAACCCUGUCUGAACAUGGGGGGACCAUCCUCCAAGGCUAAAUACUACUGACCGACCGAUAGUGAACCAGUACCGUGAGGGAAAGGCGAAAAGAACCCCGGAGAGGGGAGUGAAAUAGAACCUGAAACCGUGUGCGUACAAGCAGUAGGAGCUCCGCAAGGAGUGACUGCGUACCUUUUGUAUAAUGGGUCAGCGACUUACUGUUCGUGGCAAGCUUAACCGUAUAGGGGAGGCGAAGGGAAACCGAGUCUGAUAAGGGCGCAUAGUCGCGGGCAGUAGACCCGAAACCGGGUGAUCUAGUCAUGCCCAGGGUGAAGGUGCGGUAACACGCACUGGAGGCCCGAACCCACUCCCGUUGCAAAGGUAGGGGAUGAGGUGUGAUUAGGAGUGAAAAGCUAAUCGAACCCGGAGAUAGCUGGUUCUCCUCGAAAGCUAUUUAGGUAGCGCCUCAUAUGUAUCCUCUCGGGGGUAGAGCACUGUUAUGGCUAGGGGGUCAUCGCGACUUACCAAACCAUUGCAAACUCCGAAUACCGAGACGGACUGUAUGGGAGACACACGGCGGGUGCUAACGUCCGUCGUGAAAAGGGAAACAACCCAGACCCACAGCUAAGGUCCCAAAUUCACUGCUAAGUGGAAAACCAUGUGGAAAGGCACAGACAGCCAGGAGGUUGGCUUAGAAGCAGCCACCCUUUAAAGAAAGCGUAAUAGCUCACUGGUCGAGUCGGUCUGCGGGGAAGAUUUAACGGGGCUAAGCAGUGAACCGAAGCUUGGGGUGCAUACUUUGUAUGCGCGGUAGAGGAGCGUUCCGUAAGCCGUUGAAGGUGGAUUGAGAAGUCUGCUGGAGGUAUCGGAAGUGCGAAUGCUGACAUGAGUAACGAUAAUGCGGGUGAAAAACCCGCACGCCGAAAGCCCAAGGUUUCCUUGCGCAACGUUAAUCGGCGCAGGGUGAGUCGGCCCCUAAGGCGAGGACGAAAGUCGUAGUCGAUGGGAAGCAGGUUAAUAUUCCUGCACCUCGCGUAAGUGCGAUGGAGGGACGGAGAAGGUUAGGUGUACCAGGCGUUGGUUGUCCUGGGGAAAGGCGGUAGGUUUGGAUCUUUGGCAAAUCCGGGAUCCUCUAAGACCGAGCACCGAGACGAGCCUUUAUGGCGAAGUCACUGAUACCACGCUUCCAGGAAAAGCUCCUAAGCUUCAGCUUACGCAGACCGUACCGUAAACCGACACAGGUGGGUAGGAUGAGAAUUCUCAGGCGCUUGAGAGAACUCGGGUGAAGGAACUAGGCAACAUGGCACCGUAACUUCGGGAGAAGGUGCACCCUUUUUGGUGGCUCGUGCGAGCUAUAGCUGAAGAGGGUCGCAGUAACCAGGCCGCUGCGACUGUUUAUCAAAAACACAGCACUCUGCAAACACGAAAGUGGACGUAUAGGGUGUGACGCCUGCCCGGUGCUGGAAGGUUAAUUGAUGGGGUCAGCCGCAAGGCGAAGCUCUUGAUCGAAGCCCCAGUAAACGGCGGCCGUAACUAUAACGGUCCUAAGGUAGCGAAAUUCCUUGUCGGGUAAGUUCCGACCUGCACGAAUGGCGUAACGACAGCGGCGCUGUCUCCACCCGAGACUCAGUGAAAUUGAAAUCGCUGUGAAGAUGCAGCGUUCCCGUGGCAAGACGGAAAGACCCCGUGAACCUUUACUAUAGCUUUACACUGAACGUUGAGUUCGUCUGUGUAGGAUAGGUGGGAGGCUAUGAAACCAUGGCGCUAGCUGUGGCGGAGCCAUCCUUGAAAUACCACCCUGUCGUGCUUGACGUUCUAACCUGGGCCCAUUAUCUGGGUCGGGGACCGUGUAUGGUGGGUAGUUUGACUGGGGCGGUCUCCUCCUAAAGAGUAACGGAGGAGCUCGAAGGUACGCUCAGCGCGGUCGGACAUCGCGCACUGUGUGCAAAGGCAUAAGCGUGCUUGACUGCAAGAUCGACGGAUCAAGCAGGUAGGAAACUAGGACUUAGUGAUCCGGUGGUUCUGUAUGGAAGGGCCAUCGCUCAACGGAUAAAAGGUACUCCGGGGAUAACAGGCUGAUACCGCCCAAGAGUUCAUAUCGACGGCGGUGUUUGGCACCUCGAUGUCGGCUCAUCACAUCCUGGGGCUGUAGUCGGUCCCAAGGGUAUGGCUGUUCGCCAUUUAAAGUGGUACGCGAGCUGGGUUCAGAACGUCGUGAGACAGUUCGGUCCCUAUCUGCCAUGGGCGUUGGAGAUUUGAGAGGGGCUGCUCCUAGUACGAGAGGACCGGAGUGGACGAACCUCUGGUGUUCCGGUUGUCACGCCAGUGGCAUUGCCGGGUAGCUAUGUUCGGAAGCGAUAACCGCUGAAAGCAUCUAAGCGGGAAGCGCGCCUCAAGAUGAGAUCUCCCGGGGCACAAGCCCCCUGAAGGAACCAUGUAGACUACGUGGUUGAUAGGUCAGGUGUGUAAGUACAGCAAUGUAUUGAGCUAACUGAUACUAAUGAUCCGUGCGGCUUGACCAU
rnacentral:rRNA from 1 species